UACGUAGGGUGCAAGCGUUGUCCGGAAUUAUUGGGCGUAAAGGGCUCGUAGGCGGCCAACUAAGUCGGAUGUGAAAUCCCCAGGCUUAACCUGGGAACUGCAUCCGAUACUGGAUGGCUUGAAUCCGGGAGAGGGAUGCAGAAUUCCAGGUGUAGCGGUGAAAUGCGUAGAUAUCGGAAGGAACACCAGUGGCGAAAGCGGCUUCCUGGUCCAGCACCGACGUUCAGGCACGAAAGCGUGGGGAGCAAACAGG
rnacentral:rRNA from 1 species